ensembl:lncRNA
CAGGUGAACUACUAGUACCAGUACAUAACCUAUAGAAUAUUGCGCAUGCGCGCCUGAACGAAUCACUCCCCGAGACGACUCAUUUUUCCCGAGUCACAUUAAAGAUUUGUUCAAAAUAAACAAAUCUUUCAAGAACGACCCAUCACUAAUAUGCUUCCAUCAGCCAUCCUACCCAGCCUCAGGAGUCUAGAGAGACACUUGGCCCGGGAUCCUCUACAAGCUGAAGAGUACUGUGGAGCGAUUUGGAAGUUGGUGGAAGCAGGAGCAGUCAGGAGGACUGACCCAGGCGAAGCCUCAGCCACCAAUGAGUUGUGGUACAUACCGCAUCACUUGAUAAGUCAUAACGGGAAGAGUCGUUUAGUCUUCAACUGCUCUUUUCAAUUCCAAGGCCGAAGCCUCAAUGACACCCUCCUUCCUGGACCAACACUGGGAGCCUCUCUUCUGGGAGUCUUAUUACGCUUCAGGGAACAUGCGGUGGUGGUUAGUGGAGACAUCAGAGGCAUGUUCCAACAGGUUCGGCACUUACCAGAAGACCAGCCGCUCCUCAGGUUCAUCUGGAGGGACAUGAAGCAUGAUAACCCCCCUGAAGUCUUCAAGUGGCAGGUUCUACCAUUUGGCACUGCGUGCUCACUGUGCUGUGCCUCCUUCGCCCUCCAGAGGCAUGCGAGAGAUCAAGGCGGGCCAGGGGAAGGAAUCCAGCAUUCGGUGGAGCACUGUUUUUAUGUGGAUAACUGCCUCCAGAGUCUGGAGGAUUUGAGCUCAGACAGUGGGCCUGCAACAUACCUGAUGUGCUCCGACAUCUACCUGCAGAGGCAAAAUCCAACAGCACAGAGCGAUGGCUUUCCCACGAUGAACCUGGCCUGUCUGAACCAGCCCUCGGACUCAGCUGGAACUGGAGAUUAGACACAUUAGGUUACAAGAGCCGACCUCUGGAGUAUGAGGCACUGAUGAUGAGAAAUGUCUACAAGGUACUGGCCCGACAAUAUGAUCCCCUGGGAUUUAUUGCACCUUACACGACUCGCGCCAAGCUCAUCGUCCAGAGCAUGUGGGAUAAGCCUCGUGACUGGGAUGACCCAUGUGAAAGUUACAUACAACCAAGUAUGGUGACCCAUACUCAGA